AACGAACGCUGGCGGCAUGCCUAACACAUGCAAGUCGAACGAGACCUUCGGGUUUAGUGGCGCACGGGUGCGUAACGCGUGGGAACCUGCCCUUAGGUUCGGAAUAACUCCCCGAAAGGGGUGCUAAUACCGGAUAAUGUCUUCGGACCAAAGAUUUAUCGCCUUUGGAUGGGCCCGCGUUGUAUUAGCUAGUUGGUAGGGUAAAAGCCUACCAAGGCGACGAUCCAUAGCUGGUCUGAGAGGAUGAUCAGCCACACUGGGACUGAGACACGGCCCAGACUCCUACGGGAGGCAGCAGUGGGGAAUAGUGGACAAUGGGCGAAAGCCUGAUCCAGCAAUGCCGCGUGAGUGAUGAAGGCCUUAGGGUUGUAAAGCUCUUUUACCCGGGAUGAUAAUGACAGUACCGGGAGAAUAAGCUCCGGCUAACUCCGUG
rnacentral:rRNA from 1 species